CUGCCUUGUAUUCCUUGGACCCGAAAUCCCAUCAACCAUGUGUUUUCCAUAGCUAGCACAUCUAUACUUGUCUGGUCUGUAGCCGGAGGACCCCAGACUUUCCUUUCCUCAGUACGUACCAGUCAGAGAGUGACUAAAGCUCCCUCAUCAAGAGAACUUACAAAAAUCCCUCUGGGCCUGGAGAUGCUGAUCUACUGGUGCAGUUUCAAGAGUAGAAUCCAGCACGUAGGACCAGCGAGACUCCUAUCAAUCCUCUGAGUGAAAAAGGGUAUUUGAGAGAAAAGAGAGUGUUCUAAAAUCAGGCCUUUUCAGAACAGAGCGGUUCACCUGCAACAGACAGACACAAGAGCCCAGGGAUUUUAGAGUUGAUGUGGCAGUGGGGUGGACUGCACCAGGUCCAUCCCUUGGCACUGGAUGUGGUCACACAGUCGCUUUUCCUGUUGAGUGAAUUUGAAGAGAAGAAGGCAGGCAUAUCUGUUAACAUCUGGACAUCCAUGGAGGGCUGACAGUUAAUUAGCACAGUCUCGUUGCUGAAGCCUCCUCUCAAGCAGACAUGUUCAAGUCACCCCGAAGUGAUUAUCAUGAAGGGGUUCUUCGCUGCGGAGCUCACAGAUGGCAGAAAAGAGCCCAGGCACGCACACAGCCCGAUAAUCAAGAUAGCCUUAAAAUAGGGGCUGCCCUGCCCUCCCAGGACACCGGCACCCAUGUAUUCCAAGUUUCUAUCAAACUGCAGCAAGGGUGCGCUUUGGUUCUGGUUACAUGCAUGCAUCUUCUUCAGGACAAGCACAGCCUAUUCUUCAGGGGACUCCUCUGUGGCACUGCCACAAACUGUACGGGAGAAAAUAGCCUUGGCAAAGCAGCUGGGUUUUCUUUGCCACUCCCAGCUCUAGGUACAAAUGGUUUUUCUUAAGAUUAGCAACACACAUGCAGGGUGGGCCAGAGGCCCGUGUGUGGGUGUGCGUGUGCAUGCGUGUGUGUGCAAGAGUGCGUGUGUGUGUGUGUCUAUCAUGAGAGCAAAAGAGGGAGAAAUGCGAGCAGACUAACUGUGUUUUGCUCACUCACUGCUAGGCCCGCAAAGCGAAUUUCCUGCUCAAGUUCCUGGAUUCCAGUUGAGAUGAAUCCUUUCCUCCCUCCCUUCUUCCUUCACUCCCUUUUUUCCUUUCUUCCUCUCCUUCUUUUCCCUCUCUCCUUUCUUCCUCUGUCUCUGACUCUGUCUUUCCCUCUCUAUCUCCUUCCUUCCCAAUUCAUUGGUUACAGAUUUUUUUAACAGUUCACUGAAACCCCAGUCCGGAGCAGCAAACACUCCCCGUCCUGGGUGUAAACAAUUAGCAGGGUCCAACACUCACUGGAUUCACAUGCUGGAUUUGGUUUUGGUAUAUUUCAUCUCAUUUAACUUUAUUUGUUAGGUUUUGUAGUGCCUGGGCAGGGAAAUGCAGACCUUUGUAGUUCAAGGCAGGAGCAGGAGUGUAGGUUUGGAAGCUGAUGAAACUGUGACCACAAAGAGACGGUGACCCUCACUUUGGCUUUGGGGCCUCCUCCUGGCCACUGACUGCCAAGUUGCUGAGCAAGGCACUUAGAGGGAGCAUUUGAGAAAGCUAGACUUUAUAUAUUCACACAUUUCUUGGGUUUUAGCAGAGCUGGCUUAAAUCCCAGUAAAGAAACCAAAUGAAGUAACAAAUAAGUAGCAUUCUUCCUCCAAAUCAUAAUAGAAUUUUUGUCAUUUCUUCUGUAUGUUUUUUAAAAGAGAAACAAAUUUUAGUCAUCUUAGAGUGCUAUAUUAUUUCCUAUGACCUAUGUGUAU